UGACGACCAUAGAGCAUUGGAACCACCUGAUCCCAUCCCGAACUCAGCAGUGAAACGAUGCAUCGCCGAUGGUAGUGUGGGGCUUCCCCAUGUGAGAGUAGGUCAUCGUCAAGAUU
rnacentral:rRNA from 2 species